UAUAUUAAACAAAAUAAAUCAAAAAGCUACUCUCUUAAAUUCGAAAUGUUACUCCUCCAAUAUAUAUAUUAAAUGCCCUUUGCAAUAAAACCCAAGUAACCCACUAAUCAGACCACGUAGUAUAAUAUUCAUAGUGACAAUUCAUCACGGAUAAUUAAUGGAAUUACGGAUAAUUAUAGCGACAAUCAUACCUUUGACUCUUGAUAUUUUACUUUUUGGCCUUAUAUAUCUUCUUAUUCUCUCUUUUUUUUUUUUUUUUUUUUUUUUCUGAGUCUGCUAUUCUCUCUUGUGCCUUUUCAACUGCGAGCCAAAAAUAUUCAAUAUCUCUUUCUCCACAUGCAAGGUAUCUAAUAAUCUUAUAAUCUAGAUAUUUAGAUGACUUAAUUUUAUUUAUAUUGAUUGUUUAUUUGCUCUUUUUUUUUUCCCGAGUUUGAUCUUCUCUUUGUUCAUUAUUUUAGCUAGGUAACUAUUGUUUUUCUUUGUUUUGGUAGGUGGUUAUUGGAGAUUUCAUAUACUAUUAAAGAACAAGAACGUAAAAAAGAAUGUACAAAAGUUAUGGAUUAUUUCUUGGCAUUAGUUUCACAUGCCAAAAGGUUUGGUUUUAGUAUUAACAGAUCAUGGUAUUUUAGUAUUAAUCAGCAUAUGACGUGUAUAUCUUGAAUUCAUAUUAGAUGGUUUAUAAAGGAUUAAACAAAAUCAAACUACCAUUUAGAUUUGCAUUACCAAAUUGUUACGUUAUCCUUUUUUUUUCCUCACUUCUUCACCACCUUUAUUUUUGUUUCUAUUCAAGUUAACAUUUAUUGAUUUAAUGAUUAGUUUCAUAUUCGACCUUAUCUCUAAAUAAACUUUCAAUCAAAAGAAUAUAUAUAUAUAUAUAUAUAUAGAUUUAAAGAACCCUGAAAAAAAAACGUGAAAAGACGUUUGUUAAUAAAUAGUAUUUCUUUUGUAAAAAUUAUUACACUAAAAUCUAUUUGUUUAAUAAUUGCGCGAAAAGCACACUAAUUUUUAUUUUGAAAAGACACUUUCCUUGGUUUAACGAUAAGUGGAUUAACAAAACUAUUGGAUUUUUUUUUUUUCCCUUCAUUGCUUUCCGGAGGAAAAUCAUGUGCAGACGUCUCUUCCUUUACUGAGAACGCAACAGUGAUUGUGAAGUAGAAGGAGAACUGCCUUCAAUUUGGAAUGGAAGCUGCUGGCAUUCAUGAAACAACGUAUAACUCGAUCAUGAAGUGUGAUGUGGAUAUCAGGAAGGAUCUUUAUGGAGACAUUGUACUUAGUGUUAUACCCCGUACAUUUAUACGACAAAUUAUCCGCAAGCAAAUCGACUCAAGUUAAAGGAGGAAUUAUUUUCGGACAUGAAAUAAGAGCUUUUAAUUUUCAACUUUGAUUAUCACAAAAAUUGAUUAAUUAAAGUUAGACAAGUAAAUUAGUGGGACAUGUGUCAAUGUUAAGGGCUACUUAUAUAAGGCAUAAGAUGACUUAUAUUCCUCCAUUAUUCACAAAACUCAUCCAUCAAAGUAGAGUUAGUGAGAGAAGCUCUCAAGCUUAGAGAGAGAGAGCAGUUCCCGGCGCUACUAUUCACGGCGGCGCACUGUUCACGGCCAGCCCAUUUUUGCCCCCUUCUACACAAUUAAUUGGAGAGAUUUGAAGCUCAAGAGGAGGAAAAAGAUGGAGCUCAUGAUAGCCAUGGCUUUCUUGAAGACAUUUCAUGGUGAAAAAUUAGAGCUUGUCUCUAAGACCUUGGGGAGCCCGAGGCGUAGAUUGGGAUUUACUUUAGAUUGGCUAUCUUGGAGUGCGUACGAGGUACAGACGCACAGUUUGGUGAUCUACCCACUUAGGACACCCUCUUCUGCUGUUUGGAGUGCUCUUCUCAUUUCAGAGCACACAUUUUGGUAUAUAUAUUCGUUCUCUAUGUAUAUAUGUAUUUGUUCAGGGGCACGGCGGGGCCCUGUCCCGCCAUAUGAUUCGGUUUGUCUGUUUAGAGGUCUGUAGACGUAUUUGUGGGUGUGUGUGCCUACUUCUGUACGGAUGUGUUUGCAUGACUCUAUUCGUUAUGGCAGCCUUGUCGGCUCGCACAUGUAUAUGUUGUUCUGUUGGCCUUGUGUGGCCUUUGUUGGUAUUUGCUGUGUACAGGGUUAUUUUGGAUAGUCCGAAAAACAAAGGAAACUCUGCCGAAAUUUUCUUUGAAAAUCUCAUAAAUAUGAAACACCGCCUUGUCGGCUUCUGUUAUAUGCCUGGAUGGGUUUGCUAUAAUCUGAGGCAGUGUUUGAUAUAUGUGUUGGUAUAAGUUAUCUGUUUGCCACUCGGAUUUGUGAUUGUGUUCGGGUGCCCAAUUCGGGCACUAGUCACGGCCCACGGGGUUGGGUCGUGACACUUAGUGGCGGUUCAACUAUGUUCAAUGGAAUUGCUGAUAGAAUGAGCAAAGAAAUUACUGCAUUGGCUCCAAGCAGCAUGAAAAUUAAAGUUGUUGCUCCACCAGAAAGGAAGUAUAGUGUUUAGAUUGGAGGCUCUAUUUUGGCUUCUCUAAGUACUUUCCAACAGAUGUGGAUUGCAAAGGCAGAAUUUAGAGGAAACUUGGAGUGUACCAUGGAACAUCGGCAUAAUGCCAAGCAAGGGGAGAAAUAUUUUGAAUCUGGACAAGCAGCCGGUGGCCACAUUAAGAUCAAGAAAAGAUGAAUGAAGGAAAGCAGAAAGCAGAAGACAAAUUGUCAUAUUUCUUCUCAAAGCAUUGUGUAUAUCAGUAGUGGUUAGUGUAGGAAGUUUUCAUGCUGAUAUUUUCCACCUGGAUCAUAUUAUAGCUGCUUUUGCAGCAGAACA